GAUAAUAAUCAAGUACUGAAGAAGAAGGCAUUAGAAUAUGUGUGUACUGUUCAAGCAGUAGAGAACAGCCCUGGGGUUGCUGAGACGCAUGCACAAAUAGAGAGGUUGUAUUUCUACAUUCAAAAAUGCGUAUGGGGACAAAUUCAGAUCUUACUAUCAAGACAACCCAACACUUCAUAUUGCCAAAUGGCCUGCAGAAACAGACUCAUUCCUGAUUCUCAUGCAUUUAAAAUCCUGACUGUUUGGGACUGCAGGAUUUUCACUCUCUCAUGCUGUUCUUUUAUCUUCUUUGUGAGUGGUCUCUCAAAGGCUCUAAACAGCUAA
ensembl:lncRNA